AUACGGGGGGUGCAAGCGUUAAUCGGAAUUACUGGGCGUAAAGCGCGCGUAGGCGGUUUGCUCAGUCGGAUGUGAAAGCCCAGGGCUCAACCUUGGAACUGCAUACGAUACUGGCAAACUAGAGUGUGAGAGAGGAUAGUGGAAUUUCCGGUGUAGCGGUGAAAUGCGUAGAUAUCGGAAGGAACAUCAGUGGCGAAGGCGACUGUCUGGCCCAACACUGACGCUGAGGUGCGAAAGCGUGGGUAGCAAACAGGAUUAGAAACCCUAGUAGUCC
rnacentral:rRNA from 1 species